GAUGAACGCUGGCGGCGUGCCUAAUACAUGCAAGUCGAGCGAACGGACGAGAAGCUUGCUUCUCUGAUGUUAGCGGCGGACGGGUGAGUAACACGUGGAUAACCUACCUAUAAGACUGGGAUAACUUCGGGAAACCGGAUCUAAUACCGGAUAAUAUUUUGAACCGCAUGGUUCAAAAGUGAACGACGGUCUUGCUGUCACUUAUAGAUGGAUCCGCGCUGCAUUAGCUAGUUGGUAAGGUAACGGCUUACCAAGGCAACGAUGCAUAGCCGAUCUGAGAGGAUGAUCAGCCACACUGGAACUGAGACACGGUCCAGACUCCUACGGGAGGCAGCAGUAGGGAAUCUUCCGCAAUGGGCGAAAGCCUGACGGAGCAACGCCGCGUGAGUGAUGAAGGUCUUCGGAUCGUAAAACUCUGUUAGUAGGGAAGAACAGAUGUGUAAGUAACUGUGCACGUCUUGACGGUACCUAAAGAGAAAGCCACGGCUAACUACGUG
rnacentral:rRNA from 1 species